rnacentral:rRNA from 1 species
AAUCUACAAAACCGGUCUCAGUUCGGAUCGCAGUCUGCAACUCGACUGCGUGAAGCUGGAAUCGCUAGUAAUCGCGCAUCAGCCAUGGCGCGGUGAAUACGUUCCCGGGCCUUGUACACACCGCCCGUCAAGCCAUGGAAGUCUGGGGACCUGAAGACGGUAACCGCAAGGAGCCGUUAAGGGUAAAACAGGUAACUAGGGCUAAGUCGUAACAAGGUAUC